rnacentral:rRNA from 1 species
UUCUGCGAACAUGCCACCCUGAAUGUGCCUGAUCUCAUCUGAUCGCCGAAACUAAGCAGGGUCGGGCCUGGUUCAUACUUGGAUGGGAGACCACCUAGGAAGACCAGAUGCUGCAGGUG